AGAAUGAACGCUGGCGGCGUGCUUAACACAUGCAAGUCGCACGGGCAGGGGUAACUCUGUCAGUGGCGGACGGGUGAGUAACGCGUAGGUAUCUAUCCUCGGGUGGGGGACAACCACGGGAAACUGUGGCUAAUACCGCAUGAUGACUGAGGUCCAAAGGCGCAAGUCGCCUGGGGAGGAGCCUGCGUCCGAUUAGCUUGUUGGUGGGGUAAAGGCCUACCAAGGCUCCGAUCGGUAGCUGGUCUGAGAGGAUGAUCAGCCACACUGGGACUGAGACACGGCCCAGACUCCUACGGGAGGCAGCAGUGGGGAAUAUUGGACAAUGGGCGAAAGCCUGAUCCAGCAAUGCCGCGUGUGUGAAGAAGGUCUUCGGAUUGUAAAGCACUUUCGACGGGACGAUGAUGACGGUACCCGUAGAAGAGCCCGGCUAACUUCGUGCCAGCAGCCGC
rnacentral:rRNA from 1 species